GGGCCCGUAGCUCAAUCGGUAGAGCAAGCGACUUUUAAUCGAGAGGUUCCGGGUUCGAGUCCCGGCGGGCCCACCA
rnacentral:tRNA from 4 species